CAUCGAAAACCAAGCCACGAAAUGAAAUGUCAAUUACAAGGAAUCGUGUCUGGAACUAAUAUUUUAAGUGGAAGAAUCAGAUCAAAAACAUUGCACUUCAUAUACCCUAAGUGUAAUAAGCAACAAGACUCGUUUGAAUGUGGCUAUUAUA